AAUGGGGAAUCGGGGAAUGGGAAUCGGGGAAUGGGGAAUCGGGGAAUAUCAUAUUCCCCCUUUUAAAGAUCUUUAACAGGGGGAAUAUGGAGGAAUGGGGAAUCGGGGAAUAUCAUAUUCCCCCUUUUAAAGAUCUUUAAAAGGGGGAAUAUGAUAUUCCCCGAUUCCCCAUUCCCCGAUUCCCAUUCCCCGAUUCCCCGUUC
rnacentral:miRNA from 1 species